GCAUCAUCAUUGAGGUUGAGAUUCAAAAAUUCGUGUUUGAGGAAGAAGAAGAGGAUAUACAAAUUGCGUAAUUGGUUCAUUGACUCAAUUUUAUUCAAGAUUGUCUCUCUCUUUGAAGCAAUUGUUAUGGUUUCUACCUUAGCUUUCUUCUUAUUCUCUUAUGGUUUUUGUAUUUGAUAUAUUCUCUGUAAACCAAGGGUUCAUUAUUAUUGGACAAAAGUUGAUAUCUAAUGGGGUGUAAGGUUCAUUUGAUUUAUUUAGUUUUCUUUGCUGAUAUUCUCGUGUUUAUACACUAGGGUUCCCAUUUUGCCGUUCAGUUUUUCGAUUUCGACGUUUUCUUUAUUGUUCAUGACUCAAUAAAAUACAUAAUUCAAUAAAUAAGUAAACAACUUAUAUAUAAUAAAUUCGAAGUAUGAAUUCAAGUAAUUACAACAGUUGGGUUUUAAAAUGUGUCAAUGAGAAAUGAAGAGUUGUGACUUUUAUGAAAGGUUGUGACCUUUCCGAAAGAUUGUGGUUUUUCCAAAAGGUUGUGGCAUUUUCGGUAAGGUACAAUAAGAUCAUUUUCACACUACCCUUUGUUUUAUUAUAAAUUGAGGGAUUUCCUCUCAUUUUAAGAGAACCAAUUUUCUGGACUUCUUCUACUAUUACUACUAAAUCUAGUAUUCUAAGUGUAUAUUAUUGUUGUUGAGUGGUUCGCUGACACCGUAGUUUUAGGUACCAAUACACCGGUAAGUAAGAUCGUUCUAUUCUGGGAGGAUAUAUUUCAUUAACCUCGGGUACUUGAGGGGAAUAAUUUCCUUAAGGGGACACUGUGCAUUCAGUGGACUCAAUUUUCUUCUUUAAGAAAAUAUUUUGUAUAUUGUUUCUAAUAUGUUUCUGAUUCUAUUUUCUCUACUAGUUUUAAUUUUCUAGUUUUGAAAAUACUCUUUAAAUGUUGUUGUUUCUUAUCAAGUUCUUCAAAGUUUUUGUUCUAAGUAUCUUAGGAAUACAACAUGACCAACAAUCUUAAGGCAAUUAGUAUAGUACUAUUAAUACUAGAAAACUUGUCCGCGCUUCGCGCGGUAUAACAAUAAUUUAAAAUAAACUUUUUAUAAAUUACCUAUUCAUGAAAUAUAAGUUGCAGUACUUCAAGUUCAUAUGAUUUUUUUUUUUGCCAAAACCCUUAUAUUCAUAAGUUAUAAUAGUUAAUCAAUAAUAAGAAGGACAUUAAUAUUUUGAUAUAUUAUGUUAGCAAAAUAGAAAAUUAAUGAAUCAGAAAUAAUUUAACAAUCUAAAAGUGAUUACUUUUAAAUCUAUAAUACAAUAUGAAUAAAGCUUGAAUUUUGUAGGUCAUCAACUUUUAUUGAAAAAUAAAAAUAAAACUAAAAGUAUAAUAGUACUAUGAAUGACCCAGUAUCGACUAAAAGCAACAUUGAUAUUAAUUUGCUCAAAUCAAAUAAUAAGAAUAUCGACUAAGAACAACAUUGAUACUGGGUCAUUCAUAGAUUAUUUCUUAUUAUUUGAUCUGAGCAAAUUAAUAUCAAUGUUGCUUUUAGUCGAUACUGGGUCAUUCAUAGUACUAUUAUACUUUUAGUUUUAUUUUUAUAUUUCAAUAGACAUUUAAGAACAGCAUUGAUAUACUUAUAACAUAUAGAUAUCGAUCUUUAGUAGAAGAAAUAAUCUAAGAAUUCAAAAUAAAACGAUAAAUCAAAUUCUAUUUAUAUAUUAAAAAAAUACAUUUUUUAUGCAGUUUAUGACAAUUAAUUUUUGAAAUAAAUAAAGAAAUAAAAAAGUAAAAAGAAAAAAGAAAUGAUUUAAGGAAAUGAUACACAUAACAUUAUUGAUGAAUUUAAGGAAAGAAAUUUAAAAAAUUAAUAGCAUCAAUGAUGAAAUGAUUUAAAUAUGGGCGUAUUUGAUAAUUCAAUAAGGUUUUGAGGUAGAAUUUUUAGUCUUUCCAAAAUUUGGAAAAGUAUAAAAAAAAAUAGAAAAAUAAUAAAUAAACUUCCACAUAAUUUUUAACAAUUAGUAAGGAAAAUAUAACAGAAAAUGUCAAAAAAAAUUGAUUAAAAUAAACAAAUAUCUGAAAUAAGAAGGUUGUCAUCUUUUUCUAAUUUUAAUUUUAUUAUUACGCAUAUAUAUGAAUCUUUAGCCGAAAGAAGCGAUAUAAAUUAAAAAAGUUAAAUUUCAUAAAAAAAAAAUAUAUGUGAUUCUUACCAUGUUAUAAUUACUAAUUUCUUGUAAAAAAUAAAUUAAAAAAGGUAAAAGAAUUAUAAAAAAAAAAAGCAUUAAGGAAAUGAUAUGAAUGAAAGUAAUAAUCAAGAUGAAGUAAGAAAAAAUAAUAUGAUUGAUGAUGAAUGGAAUUAAAUGUAGUCACUUUGAUAUUCACUAAAAUUUGAAAGUAAAAUUUUCAGUUUUUUAAAAUAAUUCUUUUUAUAAAAUUUAAAAAACGAAAAAAAAACAAUAAAAUAAAACAAACUUCAAUCAAAGUUAUAUUAAAGAAAUAAAACAAACUUCAAUUAAAUUUCUUCAAUUAAAGUUAUAUAAAAGGGAAAAAAAACUACAAUUAAAGAUAGAUAGGGAAAAAACAUUUUAAGAGAAAAAUAACAAAAAAAAACGGAAAUUAGAAAUAAAUGACAAAUUAAAGUCUAUUUCUGUAUUAAAAAAUGCAUUUUUUAAAAUAAAGUUAUAACAAUUAAUUUUUAAAAUAAAUAAAUAAAAAGAACAAAGAAAGGAAAAAAUUAAUUUAAGGAAAUGAUAUAAAUUACAUUAAUGAUGAGUUUAAGGAAAGAAAAUUUUAAAAAUUAAUAGCAUCUAUGAUGAAAAGGAUUUAAAUAUGGUCAUAUUUUGAUAUUCUGCAAAAUUUUCAAGGUAAAAUUUUCAUUAUUUUUAAAAAAAUAGGAAAAAUGCACAAAAUAAGAAUUAGAAAAAUAAAUAAAUAAACUUCUAGACACAAUUUUUAGCAAUUAUUUUAAGAAAAUAUAAAGAGAAAAAUGUCAUAAAAAUAUGAUAAAAUAAAUAAAUAUAGGUUGUCAUCCUUUUCUAAUUUUAACUUUAUUAUUACGUAUAGAUAUGAAUCUUUUAACAGAAGAAAUGAUCUAUGUUUAAAUAAAAUAAACUAAAUUUCGUAAAAUAUAUAUGCAAUUCUUACCAAUUUAUAAUAACUAUUUUCUUGUAACAAAAAAAUAAAUAAAAAGUAAGAAAGAAAGAAAGAGAAAAAAGCAAUUUAAAGAAAUGAUAUAAAUGAGAAUAAAGAGAUCAAACUAAGGCAAGGAAGUAAAAAAAAAGUAUGAUUAAUGAUGAAUGAAAUUAAAUAUUCAAUAAAUUUGAAAGUGAAAUUUUCAGUCGUUUAAAAUUAAAAAAAAUAUAUUAAAUUUAAAAACAAAAACAAAAAACUACAAAAAUAUAGACAAACUUCUGUUAAAAAUAUAUAAAAGAUAAUAAAACAAACUUUAAUUAAAGAUAGAUAAGGAAAAAUAAAUAAUUAUUAAUUUUGAAUCUGUCAACUUAAAAAUGUUACUCCCUUAAGUCAUACUAGGUGAUGUUUUUAGCUUCGAUAAAUCUAAAAAAGCAUGUGAAAUGUCAUUAAAAAAAUAAUUUAAUUCAACGAUAUAAAAUAAUAUUAACAAGUACGUACAUAUCUUCUACGUGAUUCCCACUUUCUUUGAAUUCACUAUCUCUUUCCUAAAGGGUGCAAUUAAGUCAUGCUAUUCAUAAAGGGUGCAUCCAGCCCCCCACUUUUGAUAAUUCAUAAAUACCUUUUUUCCACAACCUUAUAUAUAGGUACACCAAAACCCCCUCAUUGCCUCAUCAAACUCAUCAUCUAUAUUGUUCUAUAUCCAAAGAAACAAACUAAGUCAAGAAUCCAAGUGAAAAUAGUUGUUACAUUCAAGUUAUUUAGAUAUGAAAGCAGAAGGUUAUUUGUUGUCACUCAAGAUGCUAAACAAGAACAAUAUUGAAAAUAUUAGCGCGCCUAAACGUGUUAGCAAUGUUGGUGGUUCUCAAGAUGAAAAUAAUUGUAGUACUAAGACAUCAUCGUUGAGGUUGAGAUUCAAGAAUUCGUGUUUGAGGAAGAAGAAGAGAAUAUACAAAUUGCGCAAAUGGUUCAUUGACUCAAUUUUAUUCAAGAUUGUCUCUCUUUUUGAAGCAAUUGUUAUGGUUUCUACCUUAGCUUUCUUCUUAUUCUCUUAUGGCUUUCGUAUUUAAUUCUUAUUUGUAUCUAUAUAUAUUCUCUGUAAACAAGGCUUCAUUUUGGACAAAAGUGGAUAUGUAAUGGGGUGUAAGGUUCAUUUGAUUUAUUAAUUUAGUUUUCUUUAUUGAUAUUCUCAUGUUUAUACACUAGGAUUCCCAUUUUUCGAUUUAGACAUUUUCUUUUUUGUUCAUGACUCAAUAAAAUGCAUACUUAAACAAAUAAGUAAAUAACUUAUCUCCCCCUUGGAUCAUUCGUCCUUGAAUGACGGCUGAACUGGGUAUGGAAUGGGGUUACUCUUAUCAUCUCCUCUGACCCAUGAACUUGUGUAACGACCUAUUCUCGUCGUUAUAAAAAAAUCAACGGGGAAAAAUUUUGGGCCGGAAAACUUUUUCGUAGUAUCUUGUGAUUUUCCAACCUAGUCCAGAUUUAAACGAAAUCAGAGUCAUUAAAGUAUAGGGAAAUCUGGUAACAAUUGUGUGGUCCAAUUUUGAAUUUGAUCACAUCAGUGGAUAGCUAAGACGUUAAGGAAUUCGUACGACUUUACAGAAUUGAAUUCAGGCAAGUAGAACUUCCGAAAUUGACCUUAGCGUGAACGGGUAUUCUCUAAGUGUCAUGGGAUGAAGGUGGGUAGUGAAAUGGGAGUUUGGAAUUCUUAAAUCGACUCACUGGUCCGUGCAAGCCGCUAAGGCGGGAUUAUUCCCGCUAGGGCAGGGCAACUGUAGUGGGGUGAGUACCGCUGUGGCGAGACAGUCGCGACUUAAAGUCGGAAAUAAACCCCAAAAUCAUUUAUUCUGCAAUUUCGAACUUGAGAGCUAAGGAACGAACCCAGGGGUUUUCUUGACAGUUUUCCACCAUUCUUGAGGCUAAAGGUAAGAUUUUAACUCCCCGAAUCCGUUUUUCGACCGUAGAACGUAAUCUAAUGGGUAAUUAUCGAUGGGGGAUGGUUUUGAUCUGGAAAUUAUGGUGGAAAAAGGCCUAAUCUGGGUAUAAGGAUCAUGGGUUUGAUCUAGGGUUGAUAGGAUUGUUGGUAAUCCGAGUAAUUAGUUAUUGUUUAUUGAUUUCCGUGUUAUAAUGAUUAUUUGUAGACCAAGACAAGUGGAACGAAUCCGGAAAGGGAAGGAUCAAGUUUCUUAGGGGAUUCAAGGUAGGUGAUGUAUGUUUGUUCUUGCUUUAUUAUGAUACAUGUUUGUAUACAAAUGUUGCAUUAUUGAUCACAUUAAUUUUAAAUAAGGAUAGAUGAAUGAUGAAUUCCAUGAAUCAUGACUUGAUUGUAAGAUUGUGAGAAUGUACUUUGUGAUUGUGAUUGUGGCUUAUUGAAUGGAUCAGGUGUUGCGUUCCGACACACUAACUUGGAUCGAUUGCCACGUUCUAGCAUAAUUAUGUGAUCGGUUGCCACGUUCCGGCAUAAUCAUUGGAUUGGGUACCACGUUCCGGUAUGCGAACAGUUUGGGUUUGGGUUCCAUGAGAGGACCAUUGACUUGACAUAACUGUAUAAUUGAGACUUGUGAAAUGCUCCAUUGUUAUUUAAUGUUGUUGAUAUUGAAUAUAUUCGGUAUAUGCAUGUUAUUAUAUUGUUGUAAUGGCUUAUGUAUGUUGCACUUGUGGGAUAGCCGCAUGAUCCUACCAGUACACUGUGGUUUUGUACUGAUACUGCACUUGCUCUUUCUUUGUUGAGUACAUGACAUCUUCAGGUAGCUAUUAACAGACCUCGCUUCAAGGGUGAGCCAGUUCUUCUAGGCUGCCAUGAGUUCUCUUUCUGUCUAUGUCCAUAUUUCGGACUUAGACUAGUUCUUUAGUUAGUCUUAUGUUUAGUUUGGGGUUGUAUUCCUUCUUAUUUAGACUCAUGGUUGAACUUUAGAUGUUUUGGUACGUUGACUUUCAGGUUCUUGGCGUAUUUUUCCGCAUUUGUUUAGUUGUUAGACUAUUUUUUGGAGUUUAUGGGAACUCUAUAUUCCUUUCCUUAGCAUUUAACUUGUUUUCGUAACUUAAAUGCCUUAGUAUUUUGGUUGCGUUGUUAGUUUGGGUUGUAGUAAUGGUUCUCCCACUGGAGGAUUAGUGUAGGUGCCAAUCACGAUGGUCUGGGUCGUGAACAAGUUGGUAUCAAACCCCUAGGUUCGUUGAUCUUGAUAUACCAAAACGAGUUUAGUAGAGUCUUGCGGAACGGUAUAUAGACGUCUAUACUUUUCUUCGAAAGGCUAUAGGACUUUAGGAAAUCUCUCUAUUUUCUCUUGACUCCUUUCGUGCUAUAACUUGAUUCCAAUUGGUAUCUGUCGAUUCGAAUUGGUAUCUAACCUCUUUCACUCUUCUGUCCGCAGAUGGUUAACACUAGAUUCAACAGCGUCAGGCUCGUAGCUUCCAUCAAUGCUCUAGCUGAGGAAUCUGCAGCAAAAGGUCCUGGUCGAGGCAGGGGUAGAGGAAGAGCUAGGGGUAGAGGCCGAGGAAGGGUGGCGCCUACUAUGGAUGGAGCACCGGUUGGAGAUGCUCCCAGAAAUGAGUCCCCUCCUGCGCACCAUGAAGAGGUAGAGGAGAACAUGGAAGUUGAGAAUGUUGGACAAGAGGAAGAGGUGCAGGCUGAGACUACAGGUAUUCCUCAUUUGGACCCAGUGUUAGCUCAAAAUAUUAUGUCGUUCUUAAAAGGAUUGGUUGGUCCUGGAGUGCUUCCCUCUGUUCAAGCAACUCAAGCUCCCGCCAAUCCUCUUAUUUCUAUCACUGUCCCAAGGUGGGUGGAACUGGAGGUAAUGAUGAUUUCUUCCAUCCUUUGUUGGGUCCAAUUAUGACUGGUAAUGAGCAUGAGAUGUUGACUAAGUUCUUGAAGUUGAAACCGCCUGUGUUCCAUGGUUCUGAGAGUGAGGAUGCAUAUGAGUUCAUCCUAGAUUGCUAUGAGAUGAUUCAUAAGUUGGGAAUUGUCCAUCAACAUGGGGUUGAGUUCGUGACUUUUCAGCUUCAAGGUGAGGCUAAGCAGUGGUCAUUCGCUAGUUAGUAAGGCACAAGGGGGUACUAAGACUCCUACAUGUGCUAAGUAUAGUAGAAACCACUCAGGGAUGUGUCGUGAUGACUCCACUAGUUGCUUUCAAGUGUGGCCAGAACGGUCAUUUUAUGAGAGAGUGUCCUAAGAGUAUGCAGGGUAACGGUAAUGGGGGUAAUAGAGCCCAGUCUUCUUCAGUUGCUCCACCAGACAGAGCUGCAUCUAGAGGAGCUAAUUCAGGGGCAAGCGGAGGAGGAAAUCGUCUGUAUGCUAUCACUAGUCACCAAGAGCAAGAGGAUUCACCAGAUGUUGUCACUGGUAUGAUCUAAGUCUUCAAUUUUGAUGUUCUUCCUGAGCAACUUCUUGAGCCUUCAGUGUUUCUACACCUGAUGGUGAGUCUAUUCUAGCAGAAAGAGUCUAUCGUGAUUAUUAUGUUUCCGUCAAUCACAAGAGUACCAUGGUUGAUUUAGUUGAGUUAGACAUGGUAGAUUUUGAUGUCAUUCUAGGUAUGGACUGGCUGCAUGCCUGUUAUGCAUCAAUAGAUUGUAGAACUCGAGUAGUUAAGUUCCAGUUUCUAGUGAACCAGUUAUAGAGUUGAAGAGCAGUUCAGCAGUGCCUAAGGGUCAUUUUAUUACGUACCUUAAGGCGAGAAAGUUAGUUUCCAAUGGGUGUGUCUAUCACUUAGUCCGAGUUAAUGACAUAAGUGUUGAGAUACCUCUUAUUCAGUCAGUUCCUAUAGUAAAAGAGUUUCCAGAAGUCUUUCCAGAUGAUCUACCCGGAGUCUCUCCUGAGAGAGAGAUAGACUUCGGUAUAAAUGUUCUUCCAGAUACUCGUCCUAUAUCUAUUCCGCCAUACAGAACGACACUAGCAGAGUUGAAAGAGCUUAAAGAGCAGUUGAAAGAUCUUUUAGAGAAAGGUUUCAUUCGACCAAGUUUCUCACCUUGGGGAGCUCCGGUCUUAUUUGUGAGAAAGAAAGAUGGUUCCCUUAGGAUGUGUAUAGAUUACCGCCAGUUGAACAAGGUUACCAUCAAGAAUAAGUAUCCUCUUCCGAGAAUUGAUGAUCUUUUUAUCAACUUCAGGGUGCUUCUUGUUUUUCUAAGAUAGACCUCAGAUCUGGCUACCAUCAGUUGAGAGUAAGGGAAUGUGAUAUUCCAAAGACAACAUUCAGGACCCGUUAUGGUCAUUAUGAGUUCUUAGUUAUGUCCAUUGGUUUGACCAAUGCGCCUACAACAUUCAUGGAUCUUAUGAAUAUAGUAUUCAAACCUUAUUUAGAUAUGUUUGUUAUCGACUUCAUCGAUGACAUACUAAUAUAUUCAAGGAAUANNNNNNNCCUCUUCCGAGGAUUGAUGAUCUUUUCGAUCAGCUUCAGGGUGCUUCUUAUUUUUCAAAAAAAGACCUCAGAUUCGGCUACCAUUAAUUGAAGGUAAGGGAAUGUGAUAUUCCCAAGACAACAUUCAGGACCCGUUAUGGUCAUUAUGAGUUCUUAGUUAUGUCCAUUGGUUUGACCAAUGCGCCUACAACAUUCAUGGAUCUUAUGAAUAUAGUAUUCAAACCUUAUUUAGAUAUGUUUGUUAUCGACUUCAUCGGUGACAUACUAAUCUAUUCAAGGAAUGAAGAAGAUCAUGCUAGCCAUCUCAAGAUAGUUAUUCAGACUUUGAAAGAUAAGGAGUUAUAUGCUAAUAAGUUCUUUAAAUGCGAGUUUUGGCUUGAGUCUGUGGCAUUCUUGGGUCACAUAGUUUCCGGUGAUGGAAUUAGAGUUGAUACCCAAAAGAUAGAGGCAGUGCAGAGUUGGCCUAGACCCACAUCUCCAACUGAUAUUAUGAGUUUCUUAGGUUUGGCUGGAUAUUAUAGAACGUUCGUAGAGGGGUUCUCGUCUAUUUCGUCCCCUUUGACCAAGUUAACUCAGAAAACAGCGAAGUUUCAAUUGUCUGAAGCUUGUGAGAAAAGCUUUCAGGAAUUGAUAAAGAGGUUGACUACUGCCCAGGUUUUGACGCUACCAGAAGGUACUCAAGGUUUUGUGGUGUAUUGUGAUGCAUCUACAAUUGGCUUGGGUUGUGUAUUAAUUAAUGCAGAAUGGUAAAGUUAUAGCUUAUGCCUCCAGACAGUUGAAGAAAAAUUACCCAACCCAUGACUUAGAGUUGGCUACCUUAGUAUUUGCUUUGAAGAUAUGGCGUCAUUUGUAUGGUGUUCAUGUUGAUGUAUUCACUGAUCACAAGAGUCUUCAAUAUGUGUUCACUCACAAAGAGCUUAAUCUCAGACAAAGGAGGUGGUUAGAAUUACUCAAGGAUUAUGACAUGAGUAUUCUUUACCACCCAGGUAAGGCUAAUGUUGUUGAUGAUGCUUUAAGUAGGUUGUCUAUGGGUAGUACUGCCCAUGUGGAGGAGGAAAAGAAAGAGUUAGCGAAAGAUGUGCAUAGACUUGCACGCUUAAGAGUCCGACUGAUGGAUUCCACAGAAGGAGGAGUAGUGGUGAUGAAUGGGGUUGAAUCAUCAUUAAUGUCAGAAGUAAAAGAGAAGCAAGACCAAAAUCCCAUUUUGCUUGAAUUGAAGGCAAAUGUUCAUAAGCAGAAAGUUAUGGCUUUUGAACAAGGGGGAGAUGUCGUACUGCGAUAUCAAGGUAGAUUGUGUGUACCAAUGGUGGAUGGACUCCAAGGGAGGAUCAUGGAGGAAGCUCAUAGCUCUAGAUAUUCCAUUCACCUGGAUUUCACAAAGAUGUAUUGUGACUUGAGAGAGGUAUAUUGGUGGAAUAGUAUGAAGAAGGGCAUUGCAGAAUUUGUUGUUAGGUGUCCAAAUUGCCAACAAGUUAACGUAGAGCAUGAAAUGCCCAAUGGUUUGGCUCAGAAUAUAGAACUUCCGGAAUGGAAGUGGGAGAUGAUAAACAUGGAUUUCAUCACAGGCUUGCCAAGGUUUCGCACGCAUCAUGACUCCAUUUGGGUGAUUGUUGAUAGAAUGACAAAAUCAGCCCACUUUUUGCAGGUAAAGACUACCCUUUCAACAGAAGAUUAUGCCAGGUUGUAUAUUCAGGAGGUGGUAAGACUUCAUGGAGUCCCUGUUUCGAUUAUAUCAGAUAGGGUGCUCAAUUUACUACACAGUUUUGGAAGUCAUUCCAGAAAGGCCUGGGUUCAAAGGUGAACUUGAGUACUGCUUUUCAUCCUCAGAUAGAUGGUCAAGCAGAGAGCACUAUUCAGACCUUAGAGGAUAUGUUGAGGGCAUGUGUGAUUGAUUUCAAAGGUAAUUGGAAUAAUCACCUACCCCUUAUUGAAUUUGCAUACAAUAAUAGUUCCACUCUAGCAUCCAGAUGGCUCCACAUGAAGCUCUUUAUGGGAGAAGAUGCAGAUAUCCUAUUGGAUGGUUUGAAGUUGGUGAAGCAGGGUUGAUAGGACCAGAUUUAGUUCAUCAAGCUAUGGAGAAGGUGAAAGUAAUUCAAGAGAGGUUGAAAACUGCACAGGGUCGUCAAAAAUCCUACACUGAUGUUAGGAGAAGGGAGUUAGAGUUUGAAGUAGAUGAUUGGGUAUAUCUAAAAGUCUCACCCAUGAAGGGUGUUAUGAAGUUUGGUAAGAAGGGGGAACUUAGUCCCCGAUAUAUUGGACCUUAUCGAAUAUCCAAGAGGAUUGCCAAGGUAGCUUAUGAGUUAGAGCUACCACAAGAGUUAGUCGCGGUUCAUCCAGUGUUUCGCAUCUCCAUGUUGAAGAAGUCCAUGAGCGAUCCUUCAUUGAUCACAUCAACUGAAAAUAUUGGGAUCAAGGAUAGCUUAUCUUAUGAGGAAAUCCGGUUCAGAUUCUAGAUCGCCAAGUUCGCAAGUUAAGGACAAAAGAGGNNNNNNNNNNNNNNNNNNNNNNNNNNNNNNNNNNNNNNNNNNNNNNNNNNNNNNNNNNNNNNNNNNNNNNNNNNNNNNNNNNNNNNNNNNNNNNNNNNNNNNNNNNNNNNNNNNNNNNNNNNNNNNNNNNNNNNNNNNNNNNNNNNNNNNNNNNNNNNNNNNNNNNNNNNNNNNNNNNNNNNNNNNNNNNNNNNNNNNNNNNNNNNNNNNNNNNNNNNNNNNNNNNNNNNNNNNNNNNNNNNNNNNNNNNNNNNNNNNNNNNNNNNNNNNNNNNNNNNNNNNNNNNNNNNNNNNNNNNNNNNNNNNNNNNNNNNNNNNNNNNNNNNNNNNNNNNNNNNNNNNNNNNNNNNNNNNNNNNNNNNNNNNNNNNNNNNNNNNNNNNNNNNNNNNNNNNNNNNNNNNNNNNNNNNNNNNNNNNNNNNNNNNNNNNNNNNNNNNNNNNNNNNNNNNNNNNNNNNNNNNNNNNNNNNNNNNNNNNNNNNNNNNNNNNNNNNNNNNNNNNNNNNNNNNNNNNNNNNNNNNNNNNNNNNNNNNNNNNNNNNNNNNNNNNNNNNNNNNNNNNNNNNNNNNNNNNNNNNNNNNNNNNNNNNNNNNNNNNNNNNNNNNNNNNNNNNNNNNNNNNNNNNNNNNNNNNNNNNNNNNNNNNNNNNNNNNNNNNNNNNNNNNNNNNNNNNNNNNNNNNNNNNNNNNNNNNNNNNNNNNNNNNNNNNNNNNNNNNNNNNNNNNNNNNNNNNNNNNNNNNNNNNNNNNNNNNNNNNNNNNNNNNNNNNNNNNNNNNNNNNNNNNGUAUCAAGGAUAGCUUAUCUUAAGAGGAGAUUCCUAUUGAGAUUCUAGAUCGCCAAGUUCGCAAGUUGAGAACAAAAGAGGUAGCAUCAAUCAAAGUCCUUUGGAGAAACCAAUUUAUUGAGGAAUCUACUUAGGAAGCUGAAGAGGACAUGAAGAAGAGAUAUCCACAUCUCUUUGAAUCCAGAGAAAGUGCAGACCAAGGUACUAAUUCUCUUCUUAGUACUCUUUAAAUUAUGAAUAAGCAUGUUGUUUGUUUGCAUUUGCUUGUUAGGUGUUUGAACCUGAUAAUACACCCUUAGCCUAGUAAGAGUAAUCUCAUUCGAGGAUGAAUGUUCCCAAGGGGGAGAUAUUGUAACAUCUCGCAAAAUUGAAAUAACUAGGAAGAAGCCAAUAAUUGGAAAUAGUCAUUUUUGGAAAGAAUGAAAAUCUGGAAAUUUUGUUAAAGUUAGAAUAAGUUGAGUUUUGGUCAACUUCAAAUGGACAUAACUUCUAGAUCAGGAUGAGUUAAGUGUACUUCCAGAUAUGGUAGGAAAGCUCUUGGAAUGAUCUUUCCAACGCCGCUGAAUUUGCGCGAUUCCGAGUUUGUAUGAGUGAGUUAUGCCCUUUGGAAGUUGGGUUGUUGGAAUAAGGAAAGUCCAAUCCGGAUUUUGGAAGGGUAAUUUAGUAUUUUCCUUACCUAAUUAUUCUAAUUCAUUUUUAGGAGUUUAAUUGGAGUAAAGUCAGAUUUUAGUCAGUUUAGAAAAGUGAAUUUUAUGCUAGGGCUUGGAGAAGAGGAGAAAAGAGGACUUGUGGUUUUCGUCGGGGGUGAUCCCUACAAGGUAUGGGAGAUCACAUAGCGUUGGGUUAGUUCACCCACGCGCCCAACUUGAUUCAAUUUCAGCUAAGUAUAUUGAUUUGAAAGUAAAUCCCUUGAAUUCUUGAUGAAGUUCGUUUGAAUCCUUGUGGGUUGUGUAGUUGGAGUUUUCUUGAAAUUGAUUCACGCUAUUCAUUGUGUUUUCGAGUGGAAUCUGAUGUUAUUUGAGGGUAUAAAUGAUUCUAAGUGUUUGGGGAAAGAACCCAUGGAGUUUAAAGGGUUUAGAGCUGUAAAACGAAGAAGAAAAUUUCGUCGGACAAAUCUGGGCAGUGCCUCCGCGUCGCGGACCGUUCUUCCUUAAAAGUUGUUUUCGAAACAAAAAUUUUAAUGUUUCUCCGCGUCGCGGGCCCACCCUCAGACAGUGAAUUUUUUUUAUCUUUUCUCAUGUUUAGCUAUCUAAAUUCAUCCCUAAACAUCAUGAGAUCUUUCCUAUCACAAAUCACAAUCCUUGAAUCCAUAAUUCAAUUCAAGGAAAGUUAAUAGUCAAGUUAGAAGUUAAGAAGUAAGUCAAGAGAAGUUCUUUAAAGCUUUCAAAAGUCUUUCACAAGCGUUUUAACUUUGUUAUAAGACUUAAGUUUUAAGUUAAGCAAAGAGUAAAGAUUUGAAGUUCAUUUCUUCAAAGAAGUAUAUGCGGACUAUGUAUUCCCCAAGAGUUUAAAAUGUUUUCACAUUUGAGCAAGAAAGGGAACAUCAAUUCCAAGAGAGCUUUUAAGCUAAGUUUUUGAGUAAUUAUCUCAAAUCAAAGAAAGAAGUUUGUUUUAAAAACAUAUGAGCUAAGUAUAUUUUAGGAGUAGUAUUGAGCACCGAAAUGGGGAUGGGAGUUCAUAUUAACUCAAGUCUCCAUAAACCAUGUAGCCCUCAUGGGUAGUAAAGGAUCAUACUUUUUAGAUGACUCCUUAAGAUGCUUUUAGCAUAAGCUAGUGGAUCUACUAAGUUAAGCGUUCUAUAUGACGGCAAAGUAUAGGACAGUUCUGGUAGCAUGGGAAAGACGUUGUAUCACCACUUAGACACAUAGUGGUGAUUGUCGGUUAGAUAAUCUCCCACAGAAACUAUAUUACUUUAUUAUAUAAGUAAAGUUGAAUUUCUUAUUGCAUUUUCUUAAACGAACUAAGUUGUUUUCCAUUGUUUUACAAGCUUUAUAUAUACUGCAUGUGUUUAAUUACUUUAUAUUGAGUUGAGUUGUUCAGGAGUUGAGUAAAGUCAAGGUAAGUGUUCCUUCCAGAUUCUUCUCAAGCUUAAGUUGUGUUUAGCAUUCCAACUCGCAUACUCGUACAUACAAUGUAUUGAUGCCAGUCGGCCUGCAUCGUCUUAUGAUACAGACGCAGGUAACCAGGAUCAGCAUCUAGCGCCUCAUUGAUCCAGUUUGAGCACUCAGAGUCUUGUGGUGAGCCUCCUUGCUUCCGGAGGAUUCCUUUUUUUUGUUUUUUAGUUUUAUUAUUAGUUCAUUAGGAUGUCGUGGGCCUAUCCCGACAUCCAUCUCAGUUGUUUAGAGGCUUCAUAGAUAGACAGACAGUCAGUUAGUUAAAUUCAUUUGUCACUACUUUAUUAUUAGCUUAUGUUUUUGAGACUUAAGGUUGCCAUUUUGGCCAAGUUGAAUGUUGACUUUUAAACAUUCUAAGUUAUGAUAUAAUUUAAGUGAGUAUAGUGCUUUUCAUCAUUAUAAAUAUGCAUAUAGUCUUCCGCUGAGUAAGUAAGUCAAACCAAGGGUUCAUUUGGGGCCAGCAAUGGUUCUCGAGUGCCAGCCACGUCCAGGGUGUAGGCUCGGGGCGUGACAGGACUAAUUCUUUAGUCUAGAAGUAACCCGAGAUAGGGCAAGUGAUGAUCCAUGCACUAGUCAUUCGGGGACGAACGAGGGGUAAAUUGGUAUCUAUUGUAAUGACUCAAACCGUCAUUAAUUUGGAAAAACAAAAAUUUGAGAAAAUUACUAGGCCACUGUCCUGCCAGGGCGGGCCAAAUACCGCUAGGGCGGCGGCUCCAUGGCGGGGUAAGCUGGCGUCAGAGCGGGAUAGGUCAGACAGAAUGUAAAUAACGUGAAAUCUUAUUUCUCCUUCUUCCUAGAAUACCUAAUUUAGACGUAAACCACCCUAGAAACCCCCAAAAAGCUGCUCUAAGCUUGGGAAGAAAGGAGAAGGAGAUUUCUAGCGUAAGGAGGUCGAGGGAUUGCAGAUUUCCGGCCAAGAUUCAUGAAGUCCAGAAACAAGAAUCGCAGCCAUAAUUCCGUGCAGCUGCUUGGCGCCCAUGUAGGCUAGGUUUUAUUAAUUGAGUAGUAUAAAUUUGUGCCCACUGCGUAGUAUAAUGAUAAUCAAUGGUAGGAUUCAUGCGCAGGCCUUAGAUAAUGAACUAGGGCUGAGUAUGAUCGAGUUGUUAUUUAAGUGAUAUAUGUUGAGGUAUACUUCUAGGUGAUGGUUGUGAUUUCAUGUUGUGUGAGUUUGUUCGUUCUUGCUUCAUUAUAAUACAUGUAUGUAUGUGAAUGUUGCAUUAUUGAUCACACUAGUUGUAAUGAGAUAGAUGAAUGAUGAAUGCCAUGAAUCAUGACUUAAUGUAUGAUUAUGAGAAUAUACUUGUGAUUGUGAUUGUGGCUUGUUGAAUGGGUCGGGUGUUGCAUUUUGACACACUAACUUGGAUCGAUUGCCAUGUUUUCGGCAUAAUUAUGGGAUCGGUUGCCACGUUCUGGCAUAAUUAUUGGAUUGGGUACCACGUUCCGGUAUGCUAACAGUUUGGGUUUGGGUCCCAUGAGAGGACCAAUGACUUGACAUAAUUGUAUAUCUUGAAAUGGUGAAGUUGUGCAUGGUUCAUAAGUGAUAUUUGAUGUUGUUUCCCCGGAAUUGUAAAUGAUUAUGAUGACUUAUUUAUGUUUGUUCUACUAUGUUGAUUUAACCGUUAUGUAUCUCAUUGUUGAAUGAAACUGAAAGGGACAAGGGUUCAAGAGUGUUAAUGUUGAGAGACAGGGGUUGUCUGUAUGUUGCAAGGGUGAGAAGUUGAGGUAGUGUACAUGAUGUAAAUACUUAGGUGGAUUUCACCUUGGAGAAAGGAGUUCGUGGCUAGUAGUUAGAAAGCUUGAUAUAAGGUACCAUGUGGCAAAGGCUGGGUAAUAUAAAAGAGGAAGUAAGGGUAUGUAGUGGAUGGUUAGUCGGAAUGCUUGUAGUAAUAUUCAUGGUCUCUUCUAUGCGUUAGAAUGGUUAGGCCAUGAUCAAGAAUCUAGUAAGUAGGUUGAAUGAGGAGGUGGUUAGUAGUAAGGGUACUGGGGUAAUUCUGAGGUAUUCAAGAGAGGGUAAAGGUGGAGAAGUGAGUGGUUUAUUGCAUGUUCUUGCUAGUUGAUUACUUAUGUUAUGCAGUAGGCGUCGGGUUGAUCGAUGAUGCCUACCAGUACGUGUGGUUUGUACUGAUACUAUUCUUGUCAUGCCUUUUGGCAUAGUCUGGAUGCAGGUCAAUGAUGUUUCAUUAAGUGAAGACGAAGAAAUCUCCAGCAGCUUCUAUUUUUCCUUCCGCAUGGUGGGAGCUAUGUCUUUUAUCUAUUAUGUCCUGUUUGUACUCUUAGUAGCUCUUGUACCUGUUUCGGCUAGAUCCUUGGAGUGUUAAUUACUUUGCAAGUUUAAACCGGAAUUGUUCUAAAAAGUUCUUAUUUAUAAAACCUUGUUUUUUUUCCUUCAUUUAUUUAUUUAAUCUUCUGCAUGUUUUAACUAUUGGGAUAUGAGGGUUCUCCUACUUAGGUGUUAGAGUAGGUGCCCGCACGCCCCGGUGGGUUGGGUCGUGACACAAUCUCCAUAUAUAUGUAGAUUUUUUGAUAAAAUUUACAAAGAAGGGCCUUAAAUGCCCCUCAAUUAUCAUUUCAAAGUAUAUAACCGCAAGUAGUAGUACUUAUUAACAGAAUAUUAAAGAGACAAUCUCCAUAUAUAUGUAGAUUUUUGAUAAAAUUUACGGAAAAGGGCCAAAAAUGCCCCUCAAUUAUUUCAUUUGGUACAAAAUUACCCUCCAUCCACCUUUCGGCCUUAAAAUACCCCUGACAUUCAUCUUAUUUUUAAUAGCUCCCUUAAAGUAAAACUAUUAAAUAUUUACUUAUUAUGUUACUUAAUAUGUUGGUCCAAAUUUAAACCCUUCUCAAAUAAAUAACAAAAAUCAUAUUUUUAAAUAUUUUUUUUAUGAAACCACAUAUGAUUCAUAUUUUGACUCGAUACACUUGAUAAUAAUAUUGAAAAAAAAAAUUAAUUUCAUGAUAUCUUCCUAUUGAUGUGUUUAAUAUCAACCCCAAUUUAUUAUAACGUAACUCAACUCAAAAAUGGGAUCCAACUAAAAUUCAUACUCACCCUGACAAAUUGUCCAUCUAAAAAUAAAUAUUAUUUUUAUUAAUAUAAAAUUUUCUAUCAAUUAUCCAAAUGUCUUGUUCAUUUUCUCUUUUAUUCUUUUUUUAAAUCUCUUAUUCUUAAUUAGGAUAUCCAGGAAUCAAAUUUGAAAUGAACUCACAUGUUUAUAUUCUUUUAAUUUGUAGUAUUGUUAUGGUGGGGUGAGAGUGGGGAUAAGAGAAAUAAUUAUUUUUAUUCUUUUAUAUUGAAUUUUGGGUACACACAAAAGAAACAUGCAAUAUUCGAAUAUAUUUGCUUAAUUAAGUCAUCUUUUAUUAAACUAAUUAUUUCUAUAUGAAUGCAUCAUUAUUUUCCUCCUUUUUUCUCUCUUGUUUGUAAUAAAUUGAAAAAAAUAAAAUUUAAAAUGCUGGACAAGAUGCAAAUAAAAAAAAAGGAAGAGAUAAAAAGUGGGGGGGAGGGGGGAGGGUAGAGAGUAGAUGCCUAACUUUUUUUAAUUUUAAUUUACAAUGAAUUCAAAAUCAAGUCAAUCAUGUGAGCUUAUAUAUUAAGUAAUUUCAAAUUAUUUUAACGGAAACUGGCCUAAAAUACCCUUAAACUAUGAGAUUUGAUACAAUAUUGUCCUCCAUCCACCUUAUGAAUAUGAUCCGUUAGAAUAAGGGUAUUUUUGAGCCAAAAGGUUGAAGUCAGAAGUAUUUGGGGGCCCAAAUAUGGAUGAAGGGUAGUUUUAAGUUUUAUAUCAAUUUAAAUAGUUGAGAGACAUUUUAGACCCUUCUCCGAAGAAUUUAUUACUAACUUAACCCGUUGAAGUUAUUUUUAUUUAUUCAUUGUGAUAGACAAUUUAUUGUUUUUUCAAUCACAAAUCUCACGUUUUUUAAUGAAAAGAUAUUUAUUAUUAUAUUCUAAGUACCUUAAUAAUGUAAAAAGUUUUAUACUAUAUAUAUAUUAUAUAAAGAAAAGUUAAACUCUAAUAUACCAAGUAAAUAUAUAUCUUUUUCUAUUCGAGUCAUAAUAAUAUAUUAAUUUACAUAAUCUCAAAAAUUUGAUGCAAGAAGAUAUAGAGUUGACAUUAUAUUUCUUUAGAUUAAAAAGAAGAUGAGGGUUGUCAUAGUUUUAGCUCAAACUCAAUUAGUAUCUUAAAAGUUUUAUUAAAUAAGUAUAAAUUAUUAAUUUUGAAUCUAUCAACUUAAAUAUGUUACUCCCUUAAGUUAUAUUAAAUGAUUAAUGAUGUUUGAAGGUUAGAUAAAUUUGAAAAAAAACGUGCGAAACAUCCUUUAAAAAAAAAAGAGAAGAAAUGUCCAAUUAUAACUGUCUAAAAUAAUAUUAACAAGUACAUACAUAUCUUCUACGUGAUUUCCAAUUUAUUUGAUUUCACACUUUCUUCUGCAUCCAGCCCCCCACUUUUGACUAUUCAUAAAUACUACCUUUUUUUUUUUCUAUAUACAAACUAUACAUAAAACCCCCUAAAUUGCCUCAUCAAACUCAUCAUCUAUUGUUCUAUAUCCAAAAAAAAUAUGCAAAGAAACAAACUAAGUCAAGAAUCCAAGUGAAAAUAGUUGUUACAUUCAAGUUAUUUAGAUAUGAAAGCAGAAGGUUAUUUGUUGUCACUCAAGAUGCUAAACAAGAACAAUAAUGGAAAUAUUAGCGCGCCUAAACGUGUUAGCAAUGUUGGUGGUUCUCAAGAUGAAAAUAAUUGUAGUACUAAGGCAUCAUCGUUGAGGUUGAGAUUCAAGAAUUCGUGUUUGAGGAAGAAGAAGAGAAUAAACAAAUUGCGCAAUUGGUUCAUUGACUCAAUUUUAUUCAAGAUUGUCUCUCUUUUUGAAGCAAUUGUUCUGGUUUCUACCUUAGCUUUCUUCUUAUUCUCUUAUGGUUUUCGUAUUUGAUUCUUAUUUAUAUAUAUAUUCUCUGUAAACCAAUGGUUCAUUAUUAUUGGACAAAAGUUGAUAUGUAAUGGGGUGUAAGGUUUCAUUUGUUUUAUUAAUUUAGUUCUCUUUAUUGAUAUUUCUCGUGUUUAUAUAAACUAGGAUUCCCAUUUUGGCGUUUAGUUUUUCGAUUUAGACAUUUUCUUUAUUUUUUCAUGACUCAAUAAAUACAUAAUUCAAUAAAUAAGUAAAUAACUUAUAUAUAAUGACAUUUUGAUUGGUAAUGGUAAGGUUUUUCAAGAACUCAAGUUCUUAGCUUGAAUGAAGAUUUUGAACUGUUUUUGAGUCGAAAUGAUUAUUUUCACCAAUGAGUUCCUAAAGCUUUGAGUAUUGCUUUCAAGUAUUAAAUUUCGAAUUCAAACCUUCCUUUUGAAAUUGAGUUUGAGUGAAUUGACCCAUUGUUCUAAGCAAUUGAUGUGGGUAUUGUUGUUUUCGGAAAGUGAUUGUGAAUAUAUACUUGCUUGUAUAUAGAUUGUGUAGCUUUGGAAGUGAUUCGGAAGGGAAGACCCAACUAUACCUCUAGCUAUUGUUAUACAAAUGACUCACAUAUACCUUUUACCUCUAACAGAAAUAAAAAAUAUUAAUUUUUAUUAAGUGUUUUAUUAAAAAAAUCCAUGUAGCACUACAACAAAAACAACUUUUAGCGAUAAUAAAUAGACAUAUUAAUAAAGAGUGUUAAAGUAUUUACCGGCAUUAGUUAAGUGUCAUUAGAUGCAGUGUCACUAAAGGCUUUAGGGACAUAUACAAAGAGUGUUAAUUACUGCUAAAAAUACAUAUUUAUCGGCAAUUGAGCUAUUGUCGUUAAUUAAUUGUCGCUAAAAAUCAUUUUUGAUGUAGUGUAGGGGUAUAUUUAAUCCUUCUGACACAUUUCUUUUCACCUUUUUAAUUCAAUGCCUAAUUUAAAUUUAUUAUUUUGAUGGUCAAAUUUUUUUUUCCACUUAUUUUUUUGUAAAAUUUAUUAUAGCUGCCCCUAUUUAUGUUACAGGUAUAAAAAAACUAAAUUACAAUAUGGCCGUAAAAAGUUAGUUUUAAUUUUUUUUUCUCUUUUUUCAUUUCUUUCUUUUUAUUUUAAUUUUAAUUUUUUACGCUAAAGAAUGAAAGAAUAAAUGAAAUAAGAUAAGAAACUCAAAUAAUAAUAAUAAUCAGAGAAGUUAAAAAGUAAUUUAUGUGUGAAAAAAUCAAAUACAUAAAUAUUAAAAAUAAUAAAAAAUUAAAUUAUUAUUUUCACUUUUGUAACGGUAGGGAUAUAUGUGAGUAAAUUUUGUAAUAAUAGAUGUAUGUAUGAUCCACUUUUACAACGAGAGUUAUAUCAGCUCUAAAUGACAAAGUUAACGGUAUACUAGACACUUUUCCCUUAUAUGUAAUUAGUUACACUCUAUUAUAACAAAUAAAUAUAUAUCUUUUAUAUUUGAGCAACAAAUAGAAUAAUAAUAUUUUAAUUUACAUAAUCUAAAAAAAAUUGGUGCGAGGGCAAAUAUAAAUUAUUAAUUUUGAAACUAUCAAAUUUAAAAUAUUACUCUCCAAUCUGUACUAAGUGAUGUUUUUAGCUUAAACCUAUUCAGGAGAGAAGGUGUGAAACCUAAAAGGAGGAGGAAGACUCCGCUUCAAUUCAACGUUCUAAAAUAAUAAUAUUGACAAGCACUUACACACAUCUUCUACGUAAUUUCCCAAUUUCUUGUAUUAAGUGAACGUAUUCUACACUUAAGUCAUGCUAUUCAUACUCGCUUCUACACUACACCCCUCACAUUUUGAUUUUUCAUAAAUACCUUGAUUAUUUCACAAUCUUAUUUAUAUAUAUAGAUAUACCAAAACCCCUCAUUGGCUCAUCAAACUCAUCAUCUAUUAUUCUAUCCUAAGAAAAUAUCACAAACUAUUUAGUCUAAGAAUUAUAUUGAUUUGAGUGCUUAUAUAUACGACGUCAUAUUUAAUCUCAAAGGUCAAUUAAAUAUUUAAUUGUUGAUGCAUUCAAGUUAUUUUGAUAUGAAAGUGGGCAAUUACUUAUUCUCAAACAAGAAUAAUGAUAGGAAUAGUGAUGAUGAUAAUAAUUCUAGGAAUUAUAAGGCAUCAUCAUUGAGGUUGAGAUUCAAAAAUUCGUGUUUGAGGAAGAAGAAGAGAAUAUACAAAUUGCGUAAUUGGUUUAUUGACUCAAUUUUAUUCAAGAUUGUCUCUAUUUUUUAAGCAAUUGUUAUUGUUUCUACCUUAGCUUUCUACUUAUUCUCUUAUGGUUUUCGUAUUUGAUAUGUUCUCUGUAAACCAAGGGGUUCAUUAUUAUUGGACAAAAGUUGAUAUCUAAUGGGGGUGUAAGGUUCAUUUGGUUUAUUAAUUUAGUUUUCUUUAUCCAUCAUCUAUCUAUCUAUCUAUCUAUCUAUCUAUCUAUCUAUCUAUCUAUCUAUCUAUCUAUCUAUAUAUAUAUAUAUAUAGGUAAUCCUUGAACUUAAUCGAAAUCUCAGCGACACAUCUUAACUUAACUAAGGUUUUAUUAUCCUCUUAAGCUAUUUUAAAAUGGAAAAAUACACCCAAAAAAUUGACGUGGCAUAGAGAGUGUGUACACUCUCUUGAAGGCAAGUGAUGAGUGAAUAAAUUGGACACAUGAGUUAUACUGCAAUAGGACCCUAGUUAACUUAAGAUAUGUCGUUGGAAUUUUGGUCACAGUUCAGAGAGGUACUUAUGCCUUAUCUCAAAUAUGUACUAUUUUGCAUUUCCAACAUAGAAAUUCUUGGGUUUUAUUUUACUUAGCUUUUGAAUUAAUUUUUUUAAGGUAAAAGAGCCUGAUAUACCCCUCAACAUUGUCAUUUAGAGCUGAUAUGUCUCUCGUUAUGAAAGUGGCUCUUAUAUACCAAGUGAAAAAAUUAAUUUUAAAUUUAUUUUUGACUUUUAACCAUGUAGGGGUAUAUAUGACCCUUCUAGCAAAGUUUAAGGUAUAUUUUAAUCUUUUUCAUACAAAAAAUGUUUUUAAACUUCUUUUAUUAUCAUUAUUUGAGUUUCUUUUUCUUAUUUUAUUUUUUUCUUUUAUUCUUUAGUGUAAAAAAAAAAUAAGUUAAAACUAUUUUUUUGGUAACUAUAUUAUAAUUUAAAACGAUUUUUUCCAGCUAUAUUGCAAUUUAUUUUUUGUAUUUGACAAAAAAUUGGGCCAUCUAUGAUAAAUUUUACAAGAAAAUUAAUGAAACAUAAAUAAAUUUGACCAUCAAAAUAAUAAAUUUAAAUUAGUCAUUGGAACAAAAAAAGUCAAAAAAUAAAUAAAUACGUGUGAUGAAGAUUAAAUAUUCCCAUAUGGAUUAUAUAUAUAUAUUUUUUAAAAGUAAUUAAAAAUUAAAUUAAAAUUAAUUUUUUUCACUUCCGUUAGAGGAAAAGGAUAUAUGUGAGCUAUUUGUAUAAUAGUAGGGGUAUUUAUGAGUCACUUUCAUAACGAGGGGUAUAUCAGCUCUAAAUGAUAAAAUUGAGGGGUAUAUCAAACCCUUUUCCUCUUUUUUAAUGUUACAUUUUAGUAAAUCAAGAUUAAAAAUGAAGAUAUUCAGGAAAGGUGAGAAUGACCUCCAUGACGGACAAGGUGAGGAAGGUGAGAUUGAGAUGAUUCGAAUAUGUGAAGAGGAGAUGCACGAGUGCCCGGUGAGGUGGUGCGCGAGGUUGACUAUGGUGGAUAAUGAUGAGGCUAGGGGUAGGCCUAAGAAGUAUUGAGGAGAGGUGAUUAGUCAUGACCCAACACACCUGCAGCUUAUCGAGGACAAGAUCCUAGAUAGGAGGAUAUGGAGAUCGAAGAUUUUGAUAUAAAGUUAUUAGGUAUAAGUCGAGCGUUGUCACUACAACAAAAAUAAUUUUUAGCAGCAAUAAAUAUGCACAUUCACAAGAGUGUUAAAGUCUUCACCAGUAUCAGUUAAUUGUCAUUGGAUCCAAUGUAGCUAUAGAUUUUAGGAACAUUUACAAAGAGUGUUAAUUGCCUCUAAAAAAUAUGUUUUGCGGCAAUAAGUUAUUGUCGUUCACUAAUUGAAGCUAACAAUCAUUUUUGGUGUAAUGUGUCUACUUUUCAUUAUUACUCUCCUACUAUCUAUAUCUUGAAUUUUAUUAUCACUUAUUUUUACUUUGCUUCAGUUAAUGUAUUAUUUGAUAUUGCUAUUGUCCUCUCUUUUCAUAUUACUUAAUUUUGAUAAGUUUUACUUGAAUCGAGGGUCUAUCGAGAAGUGAAAUUGUUUUGUAUGAAUUCAUGUGUAGAUAUUGUCCAUUAGUUUCUAAUUAAACCUUUAGUGCUGAAAUGCAUGCCUAUCUCGCAUUACAAUAAAUGGUGGAUUCUACUUCUUCUCAAUGCCAAGUUAGUGGAAAUUGUUCAAAUUUCACAAGUAUGAUAGCUUGACAUACUUUUGCUAGGUUAACACCAAUAGUAAUAUAUCACAAGUUUUAGUUUAACUUUUAGUUUCUUGAAUUUUUAUGUCGCAAGUUUAAUAGUGUAAGAGAAUAUUUAGCUCACAUUGUUAUUACACUUACCUGAAAAUGAAGCAAACUAUCAUCAUUCAACCCCACUUAAAUUAAUGUUUUCCAGGUGAAAACCAAUACAUCAUUUAGGAACUUUUGAAUGUGAAGUUACAACCUUUUUAAGUGUUUGUCAUCAGCCUAAGCUAAGACUUUGUAUUGUUUAGACUCGUGGCAUAUGUUCCGUUCGCCUUCUAAAACUGGAGAACACGUCCCCUGAUUCACUAUCCGCGCGUUGCAUGUCCAAGUCCAUGUCCAUAUUCCCAAUGCCUGCUAUCCUCUCACUCAUUGAUCCAUAAGAAUUUACUGAACCAUCUCCAAUUGGCUUAACAUACUGUUGCAUCACCAGCACGGAGAAUGUGGAGUCGAAUUCUGAUGUCACUAAAAGAUCACCAAUAGCCCCGAGCUCAGGACAGUCACACCAAUCGACUAGGCCAGCUGUUAGUGGUGAAACCACACCUCGGCCUUUUCCUACGAUAUAGAGAUCAUAGUUAUGCUGAUCCAUUAGUUUUAUGGCCUUGACAGCUUCUUCCACAUCAUUCAGCAACAGUUCUAUGUAUGUUACUGAUUUGUCAUUGGCUGUGCUGAUCUUGAACCUGUUUAAGAACUCGUCGUCCAUCAACUUUUCACUCUCUUUGUCAAUCUGGACAUUCACAUGACUUUCAUCAGCAAAUUCCGUUUGCUCUAUAUCAGAAGCACCUUCGUCUGGAAUGAACUUUACAACAGUUAGGCGUGUAUCUGGACGAUCAACCAUUCUCAAAGCAUAAGCUAGAGCUUCCCUGUCAUCAGCACCUCCGAAAAAGAGGACAACGAUAUUUUUUGCAUAGUCACUUGUUUCAGAGAGGCCACGAUCGAUGAGGAUUCCCACAGAACAAGGGGCAUUAGCUAGCACACCUUCGUUGACAGCCCGAAUUUCAGGGUUGACAUCCUCCAUUUCACCCUCGAUACCUCGUUGUUUGUGGAAAGGUAGAAUGAUGAAAGCUACACGCUUAUCUUUGGCAAUGUUGCACAUAUCUUCAUCCAUGGUGGACAAAGCAGACCUUGCUGUGAGUACUUGUACCAUCACUCCAUCUGAUCGUAGCUCAUAGUUGUCGAAAGCAGUGAUGAUCUGUCUUGUUUGUGUCUCCUCGUGUCCAAGACUUCGCGAGCCUCGUUUCCCUGAGUUGUGUACUUCUAGCAUAGAUGAUCCACGCCCGACUAAUUCUACUACUUGGAGAGCAAAGACAGUUAUUGGGGAUGCUGGCGUAGAAUGUGACGAGCCAAGAAGGUUGAUGACUGAAGGGAUGUCAUGUGUGCCAUGGAUGCAAGCAAGGACCCGAAGCUCCUCCUCCAUUCUUGCCUUCUGUAUAGUCCUUCGUUUAUGGGGAGCAAUUUCCUGCGAGGGACGGUGGAGCAUAGUCAUAGGUGUGACUAUCGCCGUCAUCACCAAAAUACCAGCCACCAUAAGGGAGUACAAUUGCGUGCUCAAAACCUGGCCAAGAUUUUCACAAAGUACAAAAUGGUUAGUCGAAAAUCCAUAUCCAGUAAAACCAAAUACAGAUUGGUAAGAAAAUCAACCUGUUGUGCCUGACCAGCUUCGAUAAUGAUCAAGGCCAUGAUACUCUUGGUGUUGCUAAGUACUCCAACAGCCAGGGCCUCCUUAAUAGUCAUUUCAGAGAAGAAAGUGGCAGCUAUUGAGCUCAAGAUUUUGGCUGAAACAAAUAAAAGUAUGUAGCCAACAAUUUCGUAAAUGCUGCCCAUUUGUCCGAAAUUGGUUCUGAGUCCACAAACAACAAAGAAAGUUGGCAUAAAAAUGCCCGUCACAAAGUCAUCAAGCUUAUCGAUAAUUUCUGCUUGAAGCACUUGAUUAGGUAUACUAAGUCCAAAGAGAAAAGCUCCAAUAAUAGGAUGUGUCCCUAAAGCAUCAGUUAUAACUCCGGAAAUAGCCAUUCCAGCAAGGAUUGAACAUAUAAAGAACUCACUAUACCCUUGUCCUUCUGGCAUUUUUCUAAUGGUCCAGCCAAUGGCACGACGAAGAUAAAAGACACAGAACAAGGCAUAAGCAAUCGUGCAAAUUAAUGCCCAAUGGAUAUUAGCUGUACUCCCUGUGACAACAUAUCCUAGUGUAAGAAUAAACCAUGCACCAAUAUCAUUGAUUACAGCUGAAGACAUAGCCAUUUUCCCUAUGUCAGUUUGGAGGAUCUUUUGUUUAUCAAGUAUCUUAGACAGGACAGAGAACCCUGUUAUAGUAAGAGCACCACCAUAGAAAAUGAAGCCUCUAACUUCUUCAUCGCGAGUAAGUGAGAAAUAUAAUAUUGUUCCCAUGACAAAAGGGAUGAUGAUACCGAUAAUAGCAACAUUUCUAGCCUUUAUUCCAAUUCGAAGAACGGAUUUCAUAUCCAUCUGCAAUCCCACUAGAAACCCAUAGAACACAAGGGCUACAUGAGCCAUUGUCUCAAUAACAUGGAAGUUGUAGUUUGGGAAAAGCAGCCUCCUGAACCUCAUGAUCCUUCCAAGUGCUGUAGGACCUAAAAGUAUGCCACUCUACAAAACAAAAUCAUCAUUCUUCAUUAAACCUUUUUUUCUAUAAAUGUCCAAAUCAAUGCAUAAUAUCUAAACAGACACUCAAACUUAGCCUUAAUUCGUCAUGUAUAAGUUGAAGUGUCUAGAUGUGCACUCUCAAAGUUAGAGCGCUUACUUACCAACUAAGGUCAAGUUUGAGCAUCUGUUUAUUCCUAAGUACACAAAACAAGAACAUGAAGAAUUAAACAACAUUUUCCCUGGAGUGUAACGCAAUGCUUAGGCUAAAGUUACCUUUAAAAGGCUACAAUAUUGCUGGAAAUGCCACAUUUAAAAAAUGCAUCUCAAAUUCCACAUCUUAAGAAUGUGUUUGAUACGACGAAAGAUUCAGAUACUAUAAACAAAAUUACUGCAAUCCUAACGGCAGUCAUUUUCCCCUUCGAUGAAAAUGUUUUCCAUAUAACCAAACAUCAAAGAAUAUUUUCUCGUGAAAAACAUUUUCAGAAAUAAUGAUUUUUAUCGUAUCGAACACACCCAAAUGUAGAAGAAAAGGACUCCCUUACUACAAAACACACCAUAUGUCAUUUGGUUGAGAGUUAGAAAGGUAGUUAUUCAUGUAUUAAAACUAGCAUAGUUAAUAUCAUAUUUCAUAACUUUUUAUUGAUUUCGCAUAAAACUCCAAACACAUCAAGAUGAAAUAACUAAUACGUAAAUAAAACAUUUACUUCAUCCGUUUCAACUUGUUUAUCUAAGUUUUGACUUGACACGAAAUUCAAUAAUGUAAAAAAAACUUUUGAAUCUUGUAGUCUUAAAUUAAAAAUACGUAGAAUUUACCAAAAUACCCUUCAAUCUUACAUCCUUAAACAUGGCACGUAGAAAGUUAAAAUUAAGGAGUUGUCAAAAAAAGAAGGACAACUUUUUUAAAACAUGCUAAAAAGGAAAGUAAAACAAACAAAAUGACAUGAAGGAAGUAUAAGUCAAUGUAAUAUACAAUAUUAUGCAGAGCAGAAGAUAAAAUAACUAAUCAUUACGUUAUUAAUACAUGCACAACUCUAAUCAACGAACAUAAGAAUCGAAAUAAGAAAAUUUCAAAGAAUAUACUUACAAUAAUCUCAGCAACAAAAGGAGGUUGCUUGGUGGGUUUUAAGACAAAGGUGACAAAACGAGUGAUCAAUAUAGCUAAUGAAACUUGAAUAAAGAAAAGAGGGAUAAUUGGUGUCAAAGGAUCUGGUCCUUCCCAAACUCCAUUAAAUCUAUAAAUUGUUUGUGCAUAACAUAGAACUUUUUCAUUUAAUUUUCCAACAUCAAUCAAUGGCUCUGGAUCUGCCAUUUUUGCCUUUCUAAUGUUCAACAACAACAACAAUAACGACAACAAAAAGAUUUUUUCCCUCUUAAAUCACAAAAAUUGUACAAUCAAAAUUUGUACAUUAUUUUUCUUGAACACCCUUUUUUUGUUUUGUCUAGUCUUGUGCCAGGACAGGGAACAACCCUGGCUACAACCCUAUUUUGAUAUUUAGCCACCACAACAAAUGGAGAUAUGUAUAAAAUGGAACAUGAGUAAAACUAAAGAUAUGGUUGUCACCAUGUGAAAAAUAGUAAAAACUUGUUUCUUUACCAACAAAGCUUUGUUCAAAGUGAAUGGUUUUCCGCUCAAUUUGGAAGCUUAAAACAUUUUUUAAUUUUUUUGAGGUUGUUAUUUGACAAAAAAAAAAAAACUUGAAUUGUUGUCAAAUCCAACAUACAAAUAUAUAUAGUUUGUAUGUAAGAUAAUGUUAUGAAGAAAAAAAAAAACCGGAGAAACAUUUGGAGUUUUAGGGACAACCAGCCUGUUCUCAAGAAUUUUCAUAUUUACUAACGGAUCAUCGGGUUUCACGGCCCAAUUAUUUGAAUUUGGAUACCUAGACCGAGUUUACACUAAACCGAAUUUAUAGGAAAUAUCCAAGCUACCAGAACAAUUGAGAAAUUCAAUAAAAGAUUAUGCACAAGGUGAAGGAGUCUACUGCAGAUUCUUUAGCAUCAGCAUGGAAAGCAAAGACUUGCAAUUAUAUUUUUCAACGAUUAAUUAUAUCAUAGUGGAAAAAUUAAGAGAAUUCAACGUUAAAGCAACAAGUGUUGAUAAAAAACUUCCACACCUAAAUAAAAAAUGGAUACAAACAAGACGAGCUUUGGGAAUUAAAGCAUUAUAUUUUAUUCUCAAACGUUUAUCUGCAAGAAAAUUGUCACUUCCUUUAAUGUAUUCAAUUUUAAAAGAGUAAAAUGACGAUAGAACCAGCCAUCGAUGUAAUCUUCUGUACUGAGGUUCAGACGGAAGUUUGUUGAAUAUUAAUCCUGAUACUUGAGUAUUGUCGGUUCUGAUAGUGAAUUGUUUUGGUAAAAGAAAAGUAGAAAAUUUUCUUAUCCCUCUGACAAUUGCUAGUAAUUCCUUUUCGUUGGUUAAAUAUUUUACUUCAGCUUCAUUGAAUGUUCCGCUAGUAUAUCUACAGAUUUCAUUUAAAUCUGUAUGUAAUAAUGCACCCCAAUGAUAGUCGGAGGCAUUUGUUUGUAGAAUUAGAUUAUCCUUUUCAUCGGGUAAUCUGAGUUUUGGCAAUUUGGAGCAUUCUUCUUCUAAGUGAUGCAGUAUGGGAUACAACAACUCAAUACUGAACAAACGGAAAACAUGAGUGAAUUUUUACUCUUGUGUGAAUAUUUGGACACUUGUCCAAAAAGGAAUUCAAAUCCUAAAGGGAAUAUCACUCCCAACAAAGUGGCAGGAGAUGUCCCACUAGCACCUAGUGCCAAAAACAUCUCAUCGGUAAGCACGGAUAUGCCGAAUCCUAAGUCUAAGGACGAAGGAAAAAGCCGAGCAAUUGAGAAAUCAAAAGAAGUCACUUCUUCUAAAGAAGAAAAAAGCACAUCUUCAGUAAAAACUGGAAAAAAAAUUCUAAUAUUUUUAAGAAGAUAUACAGAUCUCAAACAUUUGUGCUACACGUGUAUUUCAAGCUAAUUAAUAGUAACUUCUUUAAAAUAUUAGAAUAAAUGGAAGAAUGCAUGUUUAGCUUAGACAACACUACUUAUUAUUAUUGCAAAAGCACAAAUUAAUGGAUAUUCUUGAUUCAAGAGAGAAAGAAACGUUUAUUAGUAAUAUUGUUUUCUAUCAUUAUAACGUUUAUUUCAAUCAUUACUAUAGUCGGUAGUUGUACAAAUAUUCUAAUUUUUUUUUUAUAUAAUCUUAAGUGUUAUAAAAUAUAAGCUCAGAAUAAUAUAAUAUAAAGAGAAGAAGACAAGAUAUGUAGAUGCAGAAGAUGACUUUUCUUCUAUUCAAGUGUGUCCUCCAAAUGACGAAUGAUAUCUCUAUUUAUAGUGUUGAGUUAUCACUCCCAAAAGUCACCAAACUAGUAGAUACAUAGUUAUAAAAAAAUGUUCUUAUCACCUUAAAAAUAUACAUACAUUGUAUGAAUUCAAUUAAUUCUUGAAUAAAUCAAAUGAACAAUUCAUAAUUCAAUGGAUUUAUAAGCAGUUUUUCUAAUAUAUCAAAUAUUCAGCUUAACCAUUUUCUUAUUUUAUAAUAUUUCAACAACUCAGUUUCAAUGUGAACAUCCACAAUAUCGUUUAUGAUUACAAUCUUGAGAAAAUGACCAAAAUGGUCCUUGAUGUGUAAGUAAUGCUUUAUCUUAGUUUUUAAUAUAUUUCACUCGAUUGAAAUGGUCCUUAACAUAUAAUAAUGGUGUUUAUUUUGGUCCUUAAUUAAUAUAUUUUACUUGAUUGAAAUGGUCCUUAUUGUAUAGCAAAAAUGUGUUCAUUUUAAUCCUUUAUCUUAAACUUAACAGAUUAAUCAAAAUAAAAGUGUUAAAUUUAACUAUGGACCCCGCAUGGCUAAUAAAAUCCACCAUUGUUGUCUUCUUUGUUAGCUCCAAACAAAAACUCCAUGAAUCUAACACCAUUAUAUUUACUUUCUCUAACAAAAUUUACUAUUUUCUCUUGCUUAAAACAUAAAUGGGUAUAGGUCAGUGGAAUAAUAUUUUAGGAAAGAGAAAAUAGUAAAUUUUGUCAGAGAAAAUGGUGUUAGAUGUUAUGUUGUUCUUUCUUUGGGGCUAACAAAAAAGAUAACAAUAGUUGAUUUUGUUAGCCACGUAGGGUUCAUAGUUACAUUUAAUACUUUUAUUUUGAUAAAUCUGUUAAGUUUAGGGUAACAAACCAAAAUGAACACUUUUUAUUAUACAUUAAGGAUCAUUUCAAUCAAGUAAGAUAUAUUAAGGACCAAAAUGAGCACAUUUGUUACAUUCACAUUAAGGACCAAAAUACAAUAGCACCCAUACAUUAAGGACCAUUUUCUCUUCAAAUCUUCAUGUCUUAAAGUUUGUCCGUUGUCUUGAAGAAAAUGUAUUCUCCGUUUUAUUACAUAUGUAUAUAUAUUAAGAAGUUGGUAUUGAAUAAAAAUAGUAUUUCAUACAAAUUGUAGAGAAAUUUUAUUAAUUAAUACAUGUCUUCGUUUGAAUGGCUAGUAGAUCAUGUUAAUAUUAUGGUAUACACUUACAAAACUCUGCAUAUGGCGGAAAAAUGACACUCUAUUCUCUUUCCUACCCUCCAUGCACAAGCAUAGUAGUCAGCUUGAAACCUAGUUUUCAUUGCCACUCCGACCACUAAUCAACAUGCUCCGAUGGCUGAUCAGUUUAUUGCUCUAGCCUCUACAUCUCAACUACUAACGAAAAUAUUCUUCUCCAUUAAAUAAUAAAAUAAAAAGAAAUAUUUAAGAAGAACAAUUUCACUAUUUAAUUAAAAGCAAGAACUAGGAUAAUUUUCAACAUCAAAUAACUAAAAAAAAGUAGAAGAAGAACUUAAAGAAAUAUAUGGAGUGCUUUGCUUCUGCGCCUUUUUACUUCUUUAGCAGCUCAUUUUCUCGUGUUAUUUAUAACAAUUCUCUGAAGAUGGAAAUCAUAUUUUUCUCUUAAUUUGUCCACUUUCAUGUUGAGAUUUUUGACAAAUUUAAAAUAAUAAAUCCAAUGCAUACCAACAUUUGACAAGUUUUCUUUCCAGCUUUUCUUUUGCUUUGUUUUCCAAUUUGAUGGGUUCAAUGCUACUACAAUUUUCAACUUUUGUUUUCCAUAUUUGCUGCAUCUUCCUUUAAUUUAUUUCUUUCUUAUUUUUUUUUUCUUUACCUUUUUAGCUUGUGGGUACCAUAAAAAGAAAAAUGUAUCCUACUCUUUUUCAUAUUUGCACAACUUCUCGUUCCUAUCUUUCGUAAUUCUUUAAUAUCCUCAUUUGUGUUGGAUAAUUUCUUGUAAAUCAGCACUUGUAUUUGUUUUGCCACAUAUCUACUUAGUUGAUGUUUUCUUGUUGUAUUGCAAUAUUUUCUGUAAAGAAAGAUUAAAAAUAUUAAUAUUAAAAUUAAAUAACAACUUAGUAUAUAUAUGAUAUUUUUCUCUUAUCAGGCAUCUUGAUUGAUCCAAACCCCCUAUAAAACUAUCUUAGAAAACAAUUUAGUAGUACUCAAUUCCACUUAUAAUUUUUGGUUUCAACAAGAUUAGCUUAUACAAAAUGCUAUUCUAGAAACUGUGGAAGAGACCAUUGACAGUACAGUCACUUGUGCUCUAAAUGUAAAAGUCGCUUGGGACGCCUUGCAUUCUGCUUUUGCAAAUAAAUCUCCAACUUGUAUCUUUAGUUUUAGAGAUUGUCUAGCCCGUCUUUCCAAGAACUCUCAUCUUGUUGCAGGUUAUCUCCAUCAAGUUUGGUCUCCUUGUGAUGAACUUGACAUUGUUGACUCCUCUGUCUCCAAUGAAGAAUUUGAUUAUCAAGAUUUUCACUAAUUUUGGAUAUGAAUUUUAAGAAAUUUCAGAUGCUAUUCGUGCUCGAGAUGCGGCAAUACCCUAUGAAGAGCUAUUUUACAAGCUCAAGGAGUUUUUUCCUUCAGCAUGAGGAAGAUAAAAAGAUACAUUCUAUUCCAAUCACUGCCAACAUUGCUCAAGGGACUACUUUCACCCUUGCAUAUUAGGGAUCCACUAAUAACCAGAACACUAAUCGAUGAUCAAAUGCGCAACAUCAAAAAAAUCAUAAUUAAUCUUGGUGUAAUAGUUAGCAACCUUAACACAACAAACAACCUCAAUCGUACUUAUAAUUUCUUGUUUUAACAAGAUUAACUUAUACAAAUGUUAUCCUGGAAAUCAUGUAUGUAACCAUUGAUAGUAUAGUCACUUCUGCUCUAAAUGUAAGAGUCGCUUGGGAUACCUUGCAUUCUUAUUUUGUAAAUAAAUUUCGAACUUGUAUCUAUAGUCUUAGAAAAUUUCUAGCCCGUCUUUCCAAAGAAUCUCAUCUUGUUGUAGGUUAUCUCCAUCAAGUUCGAUCUUUUUUGUGAUAAACUUUCCAUUGCUGGACCCCCCGUCUCCAAUGAAGAAUUUGAUUGUCAAGAUUCUCACUGAUCUUGGAUAUGAAUUUUGAGAAAUUUUAGUUGCUAUCCGCGCUCAAGAUUCGAAAAUACCCUAUGAAGAACUAUAUGAAAAUCUCAAGGAGCUUUUCCUUCGAUAUGAGGAAGCCAAAAAGACACAUUCUACUCCGUUCGUUGUCAACAUUGCUCAAGGGACUACUUUCAGCCCUACACAUCAGGGAUCCACCAAUAGCCAGAACACUAAUCGAUGAUCAAAUGCGCAACAUCAAGAAAAUUAUAAUUAAUAUUGGCAUAACAAUCAGCAACCUCAACACCAAAAUCAACAAAAACAGUCUCCCAACAACAACCUUUACUAUCAACUCUGUGAUGGUAGAGGUCAUACUGCUCGUUUCUGUCGAACACACUCUCACAAUUAUCUUCAAGCGCGUACUAAUUAUGAUGCACACCUCCAUAAUUAAUUAGUCAGUUUCGUGAAUUAUUGACAACGGUGACACCCAUCAUAUUGCCUCAAGACACAUAGAGUCUUGUAGAAUUUUAACGUCUAGGAUUAGAGAAAUCAAGAAUUGUAUUGAUGAUUAAAAUUGUUGAGUACAUGCUCUUUAUAUAAGGAGAGAAUCGUAGAGGCCUAAGUUAACUAUACUUAGAGUCCUACUACAAUACCUAUUACUAAUAUAAUAAUAAUGUAAUUAUAAAUAAUCUAAUCCUAAUCAUAAUAUAAUCCUAGUCGUAAUCUAAUCCUAGUUUACUUCAGCUAGUACAAGAAGUAAAAGCCUAGUGGAUAUAAGUGGCCUAAACUUAGAGUGACUCUAACUCCGUCGUACACGUUGAUUUGAUCAGGUUGUUCAACAUGUUCUGUCUUUAGUUUCCUUUAUAUCCCAUACUUCCCCUCAAGCUAGAGAGUAGAGGAACGAUUACUCCUAGCUUGCUUCGAAAACCCAACAAAAACUUAUUUUGUCAAUGCUUUGGUAUGAAUGUGAUGUCAAGUCGUUACUUGUGAUAGUUCAUUUGUAGAUUGAUAUGAGUAGUCCCACCAGUAAAAACACUUAAGAGUAGUAUGGUUAUUCCUACCACAAAUUUGACAUGACUCAAUAUUGUUCCUCUCCUUAUUUUUACUUGGGAAACUUUGAUUGUUCGGAGAACCUGAUCCAUACUGACUGUUCUGAGAAUCUGUUCCAUGUCCAGUAGGUUUGAGACCUCUUUCUCUGGAGUUGAAGUUGUUGUUUCUUAUUCCCCCGCCUCUUUGGGCAGAGAAUACCAUGUUAUGGUUUUUUUGUGGCACCUCUUCUUCAUCUUCUCUCAAAUCUAAACCCCUGAGAACAUUAAUAAAUUGAUUAAGCGUGUUAUAUGACAUCUUAUCUAACAUGACAAGUCCUGAAGGUCUUGUAUUUGAUACCUAAACCUCUAGAAAAAUUGAUUACUUGUUAUCUUCAUCCACAAGUUUGUGAAUGGCUGCAAGGCCAUCACAUAUGCCUUAGAAUUUUUUGAUGUAUUCAUCAAUAUUUUUGGCUCCUAGCUUAACACUUUGUAGUUAUUGUUUAAGUUGAAACUCCUUAUCUUUUGUUGCUUGAAGAUAAGCUUCUUCUAAGCAUUUCCACAUCUCCUUAGCAGUUGAGCAGCCCACAAUUAGGUACAUGUUUUCUUCUAUCAAGGUGCCUAAGAUCCAACUCCUUAGAAACAUAACUUUCUCUUCCCGGUCAUCAAUACUGCCACUAUUUUUUGCAUUCUUCUCAACCGCUACAACUUUUCCAACAGCCUAGUCUUUCUGACUUCCCGAGUCAUCAAUGAUCAUAUCACAAUAUGAUUUUGAUAUAUUUUUGAGAAAGAGUUUUCAAGUAUGAAUUGAGUAAGAGUAUAAGGGAACUAAGUAAUCCCAAAUGUAUCAGUUUUUACAUUGAUAAAAGAGAAAGAUUGAUUUCCAAAUGAAUUAUGAGUUCAAAAGAUAUUUCAAGAGCAGUUACCUCUUUUAAGAGGGCAGUUUUGAGCAAUUAUCUCAAACCAGAGGAAGAGUUAUGUUUUUAAACAUACGAGCAUGAGUAUAUAUUAUUGGGAGUAGUAUUAAGCACUGAUAUAGGGACGAGUUCAGACAACUCAAAAGUCCUCCAUAAACCAUGUAUGCCAACAUGGGUAAAGGGUCAUACUUUUUAGAUGAUUCCUUAUUUCUUUUUAAUUAAGAAUAGCUUAGUGGAUCCAUUUAGUUGAGGUAUUCUAUACCCCGACAAGGUAUAGGAUAAUUCUGACAGCGUGAGCGAGACGCUGUAUCAUCACAUAGCUCAUAGUGAUUGGUUGUCGGUUAGAGAAUCUCCCAAUAGAGUUAAAAUGUAUUUUUAUAUAUCACUUAUUAUGUUGAGUUCAGAGAAGAGAAAGUAUUUUAUAAAACUUUAAAUGAUUUAACUUCUUUAAUCCUUUACAUCCAGAUGAGUUUAUAUUCUAUCUAUUGCAGUCCUUUCAUUCAGUUAUUUAUUAUUCAACUAUAUUACAUACUCGUACAUUCAAGGUACUGAUGUCAUUCGACCUGCAUCUUUUAAUGAUGCAGAUACAGGUUCUUAGGAUCCUCAACAAGAGCCCAUUGAGAUCACUUUCAUCUACUCGUCAUCUUUUGAGCAAGACCUCCUUGCUUCAGGAGGACUCCAGUUUUAUGAGUUGUUAGCAGUAGUUUCCUUGAGGAGUCGUGUGUCUUGUACCGACACUCAUCUUUGUAUAGUAGAGGCUUCAUAGAUAGACAGUUUUGGAGAGUCUUUCAGUUUCAGAUGUUUUAUUUAAAACUUAUGUUUCAUACUUAGUAUAUUUAGUUAAGUUUUGAGAUUCAGUAAACUGUUUCAAACGUUUCUUUCAGUUUGAUGCUUAUGUAUGCUUGAGUUAGUCUUCCGCUUGUAGUCAACCAAGAUGAGGGUUCGCUUGGGGACCAGCAAUGGUUCUCGAGUGCCGGCCACGUUCAGGGUGUACGCUCGGAUCGUGACAAACAAUCUCUGCUCUUAUGCAAAUGAGAACAAAUAUUGGACCUAUUCCAAUCAAAAAAUAAUUUUCGAUAUAACAAGUUUGCAUUGUCUUUUCGCACUUAGGAAUCUCAUCAAUUGAGAGAUGAGAACAUGUGGUGAAGUGGAUUGAGAAAGAAAUGAAUCGAAUGAAUAUCAUUGAGAAUUUACAAUAUGCAAUGAUUGGUAAAUUCUUACGUGAAUGAUCGAAAUUCGAAGAUUUCAACAAGAAAAUCUUAAAAUAAUGUGGGAUCAAAGGUUAUGUCGUAUUGGUUUACAAGUAUUGUAUAACUAAAUUUAUUAUUAUUUUUAGAUAUAAUACAUAUUUACUUGAUCUAUUGUAUCAAUUUAAUAACUCUCAUUUUCAUCAAUUAGUAUACGUAGGUAUUACAUUUAUUUUUAGCUUUAGUUUCUAUUUUUCUAUAAUCUAUUCAUUUCAUAUGUAUUUUGUGCUAUACAACACAAGUAUACUAAAAUCAAAAGAAACACAUUAUUUCCAUUUAAAUAACUAUAAUAUUACAUAUAUCAUAAUUUCAAUUACAAUACUCAAUCUUCUUAUAUGCCAUGUCGUCUUUAGUGUUGGCACAACAAACACGUACAAUACACAUACAGUGAACUAGUUUUAAUAAACAAACUUAUAACUUAAAAUCCAUUGCCCUCUCAGAAAUAAAACUACUGGUAAAUAAAAAUUUUAAUAGAAAAUAUAUAUAAUAUAUGUACUUAAAAUUAUUCAAAUAAAAAAUAGUAUUAUAAAUUUAAUUUAUCUGUUUGAUUCGAAUUCUUUUUAUUUUUGAAAAUAAAAUCAGAAUCUGAUCAAGCACUAUCAGAUUCUUUAAAAUUAGUAUCAAGUUAAGCUAAAUCCCCAAAAAAAAAUUAAUUUAAAUAGGCAUUUGGACUUGCGAAUUGCGAUAUGAAAUCACGAUAUAAAAUCAUAAGAUGAAUUCGGACAUAUAUGAUUUCAAUUUGAAUCGAUUUUUAUUCUGAAGCCCUAAUUAUGACACCAAACUUGGAGGAGACAUACUAAAUUUUAUUUUAUAUUAAUAUAUAUAGAUUGUGAUUUGAUAAAACAUUCUCUGUAGCUUUAAGCCUUUCCCCUGCAUCCACAUUGUUGUCAUCGAAACUCCACUAACUACAUCUUUCCUUCUCCGGCGGUAACCAUGCAAGCUAUCCAAUCUUCAUCUCUCCGGCCAUCUCCGGUCGACCCAUUUCUCAAAACCAUACCCCAAUUCACCAAUGUAAAGCCAUUGAGACCCAAAAGAACCCCUUUUAUCUCAGCUUCAUCCACUACAGUUUCAGCUCCGACAAGGGAAAAAGACCCCAAAAAGCGUGUUGUUAUAACUGGGAUGGGUCUUGUUUCUGUGUUUGGGAAUGAUGUUGAUGCUUAUUAUGAUAAGUUAUUAGCUGGUGAAAGUGGGGUUACUCUAAUUGAUCGAUUUGAUGCUUCGAAAUUUCCUACUAGAUUUGGUGGACAAAUUAGAGGCUUUAAAGCUGAUGGUUAUAUUGAUGGUAAGAAUGAUAGAAGGCUUGAUGAUUGUCUCAGGUAUUGCAUUGUUGCUGGGAAAAAAGCACUGGAAAAUGCGGAUCUUGGUAUCGACAGAGAUAAAAAGGUUUUGAUUUCAUGUUUAAGUUCUUGAAAUUGCUUUGGUUAUCUUUGAGAUGAAAAUGGGGUUUGAUGUGAUCUGUUUUAUUGGUAUUUUGGCUCAUUACAAGGGAAUUUAUGGGUUUGGAUGCUUACAUAUGUAUAUUUUUUGGUUAAUCUUUUUUGUCUCUUAAGCUUUUGAAUUUGCUUUGGAGUUGUGUGAUAUGUUUGAUUGGUAUUUUUACUCUGUUCCUACAUUUUGUUAGUAGAAUUAGAGAAGGUAACCAAAUGAAGGAGAAGUAUCCAUGUCUAGCUUUCCUCUAAUACAAUGGUAUCUUUAGCUAAUCCAUGCCCAUCAACAUUUACUGGAAUAAUACAGUAGAUUCUAUCCGGUGGAAGGGACAUCUCAAAGGUGUCUUUCAAUCAGUGAUAGAGUUUUUUAGUCUUGGAAAAAGAUCUUCUUUAGCAAGGGUCCUUUGAAGGUCUCCUGCUUCUCUUGGAUUGGGGCUAGGGAAGCUUGUCUCACUCAUUCCAACCUUCAAAAGAGGAGUUUUUAGCUUUUCAGUAGGUGCCCAAUGUGUGAGGAACACUAUGAAGAUGUUGGACAACUCUUCUUGCAUUGUAGAGUAACUAGUCAGUUUUGGUGCAUGUUUUUGGCUAUAUUUAGCUUGUCUUGGGCCAUACCAAGAUCCAUUUUUGAGCUACUGCAAUACUGGAACAUAGUGUGGUUGUCCAAGGAAUUGCGAAAGACUUGGAAUACCAUCCCUCAAGCUGUUUGGUGAACUGUAUGGCUUGAAAGAAAUAGCAGAAUUUUUUAAAGGCAACAGAAGGAACAUACAUAGCCUUAAACAAAGAUGUAUAGUCUUGCUAACUUUUGGUUCAGCCUGGUUAUUGUACAUGAUGCAGAUGCAAUCCUAGAUACAAUAGAGAAUUUGCACAAUCUGGAAUUACAUUUUGUGGUACUGGCUUAGUGCAAGUACUUAUGAAAUCCUUGAUUACUUAUUAAAAAAAUUGACAAAAAAUGGACCAAACUACUCAGGUGUAGCAAGUUAUGUUUAGUUUAAUAUAUAUAUAUAGGUGGAAUGACCUGGGAGACCCUUGUACUUGGCUCCGUUUGUCAGUUGAACCUCCUACUCAUCACUUUGCCAACCAAACCCUUAAACUCAUCCGAACACAAUAUUUUAAACCCCUCUAACCAUUGACCUAGCUUAUGUGACAUUAAUAUUGGUGAGUUGGAAAUAUGUGUGAAUACACGUGCUUGAAAGCGAGUUAAAACAAUAUUUUGCUUUUAAAAAAAUCAAUUAACAAAAUUAAAAAAUAAGAUUCAUCCUCUUCAACCCUCCUUCACCCACUUGCCCACUCACCCACGACUUUCUUCUCCUCCACCAGCCCUCUCUCCUCUACCACAGCCCUCAACUUUCUUCUUUCUCCAGCCCCACAUUCACUCUUCUCCGCCUCUUCUUCUUCUUUUUUUGUAUACAAAUCAGUAGCCUCAACUUCUUCUAAAAUUUUCAUUUUUUAGGUUUGAAAAAUAUUAGUACCAUUAUUUUAUUUGAUGGUUUCAACGAGGAGAUGUGGAUAAUCUGAAGGAUGAUUGUGACUAUUGAAAAUUUCAAAACUUCAUUGAUAAGCUUGAAAAAGCUUAAAAAAUAAUAAAUGGGUCUUGUGAAUUUGUAAAAAUAAUAAAUGGGGUUCAUUGAGUUUGUGUUGGUGAACUUGUAGUUGAAUUUACAAGUUAAAUCGAGAAGAAUUGGAUCUAAUGGGUAUGAAUUUAGUGCUCAAUUUGUGACCAAAUAUGAAGAAGAUGACUAUUUGAAAAGUUUAAGAAAUUAAAAAAUUGAUCUAUUUGAUUUUUUAUGUUUUUAGCAAUUAAUUUCGUACGUGGCACUAAAAAUGAUGUGGAAUUCCACGUGUAAUCGCGUCCAUUACACGCACACUUACCGGAGGAGAAAAGGGCUUAAAAUGUUGUGUUCUGCUGGCUUUAAGGGUCUAGUUGUCAAAGUAAUAAGUAUGAGGGUUCAGCUGACAAACGGAGCCAAGUACAGGGGUAUCUCAGGUCAUUCCGCCUAUAUAUAUACGAUGAUUCCAGCAACCCAAGAAGUAGCUAUUGUCUUAAAGAUCUACUUAAGAUUAAAAAUAUUACCUUUUCUCACCUUUUGAACAACAAUAGAGGUGUAUAUUUUCAUAGGUCUCUUACGUCAUGAGCUAUAUGUUAAGGGGUCGUUUGGUAGAGUGUAUUAGAAUAAUGCUAAAUAAAGUGUAUAAGUAAUGCUUGCAUUAGUUAUGGAGAGAUUAUUUCUUAUGCAUUGUUUGGUUUGGUGUAUUAAAAAUAACAUGUGUUGCAUUAUUUCUAAAAAUAUAUUUAUUUACAAAAAUACCCUCUACAGAUACAUUGGAAAAGAUGUACAAAAACUUUUUAGGGGCAAAUGCGUCUUUAACUAUGCUAAUGCAUGCAUUGAAAGCACUUGCAUUACUAAUACCAUGGAUUUCCACGUAUUAGUAAUACACACCUCAAUACACAAUAGAGUACUAAUACACAAAGCUGAUGCAUGUAUUAUUUUUACUAAUACACUCUACCAAACGAGCCCUAAAGUCUUUAAUUUAUUUGUGAAAGACCAGAAUGAUAUUAUAAUUCUUCAGCAGUUUUACUGGAUUUGUUCAAUAAUCAAAGUCAGCUGCCUCCUCAGUAUGUAGAGAUUUUCCAUACAAGCAGCACAUAUUGUUAACAAAAUUAAUUGAGAGUAAAAAUUUCCCAGUGACCUCCUGACAGGAUGGUCUUCGAAUAGUUGUUGUUCAGACAAUCUCCCACUGCAUGUGUAUGGUAUAUGUAGUCCUACGACUAUUUUAGAUAUGUUCUCAUAUAUUGGUACUCAUUGAUGUCUCCCUCGAUUUCAACUUGGUGUCUCCAUUGUUUUAUUAAUCAGCCAUUUGUAAUUAUAGGUACUACAUCUACCUCCACUAUGCGGCUACCAUAAAACUUGUUCUUGAUUAGCAAACUAAGGCAAUGGGAGCCAAGAUUGGAGUUGAGGCUCCAGUAGAGCUUCCUUGGAUUCCUUAUUCUCCAGACUAACCUUCUUACUUUCCGCUCUUUCCGUGCCUUUUGGUAGCGGACCAUAUGCUUGCUAGUUAAUUGGUGCUAUUAUUGUCCAUGAAUCUCCCCUGAAUUUUAGAACUUCACACCUAUAUAUCGUCCAGUUUAGCUUCUAUGUUUUUUUAAUAUUUGAAAUCUACGGAAUAUGGAAUAAACCCAGUUGUUGUGAUGUUGGAACUUCACUUCAUGAACAAACUCUCUGGUCUCUUAUCUUCUGAUUUUGUGCUUUGACAUCUUUUCAUAUUCUUUUUCUGCCUAAGCUUUCUGUGAGUGGGUUAAAAUAGUCAAUACUAAUGGUCUUAGCAAUGAAACAUUGUCCGCUGUUGAUUCUUUUAGUUACUGCAUUUGAAAAUCAUGCUUACUAGUGGACAAACCUUCUUUGUCUGGAUUUGUUUCUCUUUUCAAGUAGGAAAGAGUUUUAAGUUCUUUAGUUCUAUUUUGACUACAGAUUGAUAAGGAGCGAGCUGGUGUUUUGGUAGGGACAGGAAUGGGUGGUCUUACAGUUUUUUCAGAUGGCGUCCAAGCCUUAAUCGAAAAGGGUCACAGGAAAAUUACUCCAUUUUUCAUACCAUAUGCCAUAACAAAUAUGGGUUCGGCCUUGCUUGCAAUUGAUGUUGGUUUCAUGGGACCGAACUACUCGAUUUCAACUGCUUGUGCUACCUCCAACUAUUGUUUCUAUGCUGCUGCAAAUCACAUCCGUCGAGGUGAAGCUGAUUUGAUGAUAGCUGGUGGAACUGAAGCUGCCAUAAUUCCUAUUGGGUUGGGAGGUUUUGUGGCAUGCAGAGCUUUGUCUCAAAGAAAUGAUGAUCCUCAAACUGCUUCUAGACCGUGGGACAAAGAUAGAGACGGCUUUGUUAUGGGAGAGGGAGCUGGAGUGUUGGUAAGUUAGCUGAAGUGCUUAUUAAAGUUUGAUAACAUGGACAUCCUCUAAGCUAUCUAUCUUUGUUGGACCAAUGUUUUGUGUUGUCCUGUUUUUUAACAAUUGAUGUUUCUUUCCUUCAUGAACUAAUUAAAUAUGUUAAGAAAAUGAACCUUGGGCUUAACUCAACGCAAAGCUAGUUCAUGAGGUAGGGAUUGCCUAAGACUACAUAAGGAGACAACAACAUAUAUCCUCCAACAGGAACCCCUUGACAUAAACUCUUUUUUUUUUUUGAAAAAAUCUUAAGUGCUCUCUCAUUGCUCGGUGGAACACAGUUUUGGACAAAGCACUGCCUUAUCGUAUCACUCUCAUAUAACAUGAUCACCUUUGGGAAUACAUCAUGACAAUUGGAUGGAGUUGUUGACAGGUGAUGGAAAGUUUGGAGCAUGCAAUGAAACGAGGAGCACCAAUAAUUGCAGAAUAUUUGGGUGGUGCAGUAAAUUGUGAUGCACAUCACAUGACUGACCCUAGAGCUGAUGGACUUGGUGUUUCUUCAUGUAUCCUUAGUAGCCUUGAAGAUGCUGGAGUGUCACCAGAAGAGGUAUUUUUGGUUCUCUUCGUACACUCAUUUGAUGUUCUACUUUUGUUAUGUCCACUCAAUAGUCAAGAAACAGUAACUGGGCUGCAGGAAAGAACAAAUUGCUGUAGAUUUAGACAAUAUAUAUUAGGUCAUAUCUGUUGUCCUUCAGGCACUAAAUCCAACAUUUGUACUUCCGUAUUCUUCAUUUCAUGAGCUAUUCAUCAUUAAGUAAAGCGUAAUGGACAUAGAAAAUGUAGUGCUGACAUCAAUAAUAUGUUUUAUCAUGAGACACGGACCUUGUUUGAGGCUUUUACUUUGUACACUUCUUCUCUUGGAAAUGUAGGACUCAACAUUUCUUAUUUCUUCAUUAGUCUGAAAGAACACUUGUAGCAUCUGAGCUUGUUCUAAAUUUCCUUAGCAAUAUGAAGUGCCUUGUUUUUUAGAUAAGUAUAUAAGGUUAUUAUAUGGACAAUAUGGGGAAAUCUUUGUACAUAAAUAGUGUAGAAAGUGAGCAUUCUAACAAGAAAGCCAGAAAUAGGGCCAAAGGUAAGGACCACAAAGUUAUACCAGAGAAGCCUAAGCAUACAACAUAGACAGGUGUCCCUUUAUGUGAAACGAAGAAUGGAGCAAAAAAGGAGAAAAGUUGCACACAACAAAGAAUUUUGUGCUAGAAAAUGUACAAACCAAAUUGUCCUCUGUCCAUUUUAUGUGAAGAAGAGGAUGUUCUGAAUGUGCAUCACUGAAUUUCUUCUCCCUCAGAGGUGCACCUAUUCCUUUCCUUAUACUUGCAUGUGGAAUAACAUUGCUGACCCUCUUUCUAUUCUUUCUUAUUACGGUUGUGUUUGGCUAGCUUGCGCAUACCUCGACUAAUUCCACUAUGUACUUGCUAACUCCACCAACACAAGUACCAAAUAAUUUUGCCCAUCAAGACUUUGGCAGAUGGGACGAAGCACCUAUCUAUUGCCUCUAAACUCCAGUUUUUGGAAAAAGGGCCACACUACACCCAACAUAACCCAGUUAAUUCCCUGCACAAUAACAUUAGAGUAGUGAAUUCCAUAAUUUGUCAACAAAUUUGCAGUGUAGGAGUAGAUGGCCUACUUCUUCACCAGCUUCUUACACAAGCAAUAAACAAUAUUCUCUCGAUCGAUCGAUUUAAUUCCAGGGUAAAUGGCCAGCUUCUUUACAACAUAAAAUAAUAAUCGAUAGAAGCUCUACUUCUCUUGUUUAGGCUUGAAUUCUGGGAAGCUGUUUGUUCAAACUAUGCUACUUCCUAGAUUUGUUGUCCUAACAGUUGCAUGAGAGAGCCACUACUGACCCUUAUCAAAGAAAAAAAUUGACAGAAAAUGUUUUAGACACAUGCUUCCUCCCAUUUUGGCCUCCCUUCCAGUAUCCUGCAAAUUAGGAGAAUAUAUAACUGCCAGGAGUUCUUGUUCCCACUCCGCCAAUUAAGAGAAAUUUGAUGAAUUCAGUCUUGAGGAAUUAUCUUCUCUUCACUGGUGAUCCCAAAUAAGGAUAUUUUCAUGCUUUUCCACCAUUAUCUAGCAUGAUUAGUAGAUACAUCUUAGAUAUUCAUAAAACUCCUCCAUAAAGCUAUCCUAGAAAGGCUAGUGAUGUUUUAAAUUUUCCUGAAUGUUGUCCUCAGAUAUGUCCCUAUCACCUUUCUUAACAAAGCCUUCUCCUCUACCUCGUUUUCUCCACGAUCAUUUCUCAAAUAGAGCUUUACGAAGCUCCUUAACAUCCCUCAUCCUCAAAUUAUCAACCUUAAUAGAUGUCAUUCACUCACUCAAAAAUACUAUGAAUUUUCUGUACUUCCUUUAAAUCCCGCAAAAGUGUAGUGUUAUCAAAGGCGAAAAGCGUAAAAAAGCUCUAAGGUCCGUGGGGACUUUAAGCGCAAAGCGCAAAUAAAGCGUGGGCUUUAAUGAAAAAAGCUCAACAUUAGUAGUGCUAAUUUUCAACAAAUUGCAUUAGAUGAGAAAACUAAACUAAAUUCUAAGAAAAUAUAAAUAUCUUGGUCGAGAUAUUUAUAAAAAGAGAACUAAAGAUAUCUUGGUCAAGAUGUUUAUAAAAAUAAAACUAAAAAAAUCUUGGUCAAGGGAAAAGAAAUGACCAACAUAUCUUUAUUG
rnacentral:lncRNA from 1 species